rnacentral:misc_RNA from 1 species
CAGGCUGAUCUUGACCGUUUCUUUAUGCUGAUGAACUGUUUUUCAUAUCAUAUACACACACACACUCUUGUCAGAUAUGAGUAUUGAUUCAAAGAAAUUAGGGUUUUCCUGUGCUGAAUUACAGAACCUGGUUUAGGGUUUGAAGGAAAAUUAUUGCCUACUUCAAGGUUUAACGAAUGCAUUUUUAGUGGACCAAUCAGACGAUUCAGAGUUAAACAAUGGAGGGGUUAUGACGUCAAUGAGGUCCUUGUUGUUGGGUUAAAUAACUAGAAAGCCCUUGGUUUCAG